ensembl:misc_RNA 7SK 7SK RNA
GGAUGCGAGUGUGAUCUGCCUGGAACAUCAGUCACCUAUGAUCACCAGAGUGGAUUCAGCUGACCUGGCUGGCAGGGCGGGCCCUCCCUCAAUGUCCAGGAGCUGCGCCCUUGGUUGAUGAGGAUGACCACCCCCCAUAGAGGGCGGACUGUUCCACAGUUAAGGGGAUAGGAGCAGCUGUGCUCCCCUGCUAGACCCUCCAAAGCGGCUCUCAGUAUUGACUCGGCAGCUGUAGUCGCUUCCUGCUUAAUUAGGAGCUGGCUGCAGGACCAUGUCAAUGAGU